GCCAGUGUGGUGCAGUGGUUUGGGUGAUGGAUUAGGACUCUAGAGGCCAGGGUUCAAUUUCCCGCUUGGCCA